UACGUAGGGUGCAAGCGUUAAUCGGAAUUACUGGGCGUGAAGCGUGCGCAGGCGGCUUUGCAAGACAGAUGUGAAAUCCCCGGGCUUAACCUGGGAACUGCAUUUGUGACUGCAUGGCUAGAGUGCGGCAGAGGGGGAUGGAAUUCCGCGUGUAGCAGUGAAAUGCGUAGAUAUGCGGAGGAACACCGAUGGCGAAGGCAAUCCCCUGGGCCUGCACUGACGCUCAUGCACGAAAGCGUGGAGAGCAAACAGG
rnacentral:rRNA from 1 species